rnacentral:rRNA from 1 species
CCCUGCUUUUGUGGGGUGCUCGAGUGGCGAACGGGUGAGUAACACGUGAGUAACCUGCCCUUGACUUUGGGAUAACUUCAGGAAACUGGGGCUAAUACCGGAUAGGAGCUCCUGCUGCAUGGUGGGGGUUGGAAAGUUUCGGCGGGUGGGGAUGGACUCGCGGCUUAUCAGCUUGUUGGUGGGGUAGUGGCUUACCAAGGCUUUGACGGGUAGCCGGCCUGAGAGGGUGACCGGCCACAUUGGGACUGAGAUACGGCCCAGACUCCUACGGGAGGCAGCAGUGGGGAAUAUUGCACAAUGGGCGGAAGCCUGAUGCAGCAACGCCGCGUGCGGGAUGACGGCCUUCGGGUUGUAAACCGCUUUCGCCUGUGACGAAGCGUGAGUGACGGUAAUGGGUAAAGAAGCACCGGCUAACUACGUGCCAGCAGCCGCGGUGAUACGUAGGGUGCGAGCGUUGUCCGGAUUUAUUGGGCGUAAAGGGCUCGUAGGUGGUUGAUCGCGUCGGAAGUGUAAUCUUGGGGCUUAACCCUGAGCGUGCUUUCGAUACGGGUUGACUUGAGGAAGGUAGGGGAGAAUGGAAUUCCUGGUGGAGCGGUGGAAUGCGCAGAUAUCAGGAGGAACACCAGUGGCGAAGGCGGUUCUCUGGGCCUUUCCUGACGCUGAGGAGCGAAAGCGUGGGGAGCGAACAGGCUUAGAUACCCUGGUAGUCCACGCUGUAAACGGUGGGUACUAGGUGUGAAGUCCAUUCCACGGGUUCCGUGCCGUAGCUAACGCUUUAAGUACCCCGCCUGGGGAGUACGGCCGCAAGGCUAAAACUCAAAGGAAUUGACGGGGCCCCGCAUAAGCGGCGGAGCAUGCGGAUUAAUUCGAUGCAACGCGUAGAACCUUACCUGGGUUUGACAUGGAUCGGGAGCGCUCAGAGAUGGGUGUGCCUCUUUUGGGGUCGGUUCACAGGUGGUGCAUGGCUGUCGUCAGCUCGUGUCGUGAGAUGUUGGGUUAAGUCCCGCAACGGGCGCAACCCUUGUUCACUGUUGCCAGCACGUUAUGGUGGGGACUCAGUGGAGACCGCCGGGGUCAAC